rnacentral:rRNA from 1 species
GUCUACAGCCAUGCCACCCUGAACACUCCUGAUCUCAUCUGAUCUUGGAAGCUACACAGGGUUGGGCCUGGUUAGUACUUGGAUGGGAGACCACCUAUUAAAAUUAAAUAAAUAAAAU